CACCCUGAGGGGAAAAAGGAACAUGUGAUCAAUACCAAGUUGUGCAAAAUCCUCAGCAAUCCUCACAAUUCCAGCUCUGCGCUGUUUCCCUGGGAAAGCCGAAGCUAACUUGGGAAAAUAAACAGAGAUUUGUUUGCAGGAGGAGUUAAACAAGUGUCCAAGCAUUAUCUGCUGUGCUGAUAAACACAAACGGGGAGAGAAAAGGAGCUCAGUGACUGCAAAAAGCCUGAAGGGUCUGUGCAAGGCCUUUUCAGCAGUUUCACCUGAACCUGAAUCUGGGAAUUUCCUGGAAAAUCUGGCAGCUUGAAAUCUCUAAAGAGAAAUUCUGUGCCUUAAGGAAUAAGUAGCUGCCCUGAGCUAGAGCAGAGUCCUUUUUCCAGCUCCAGGAAGAGGACAAAGUUCUUAGGGAAAUGUGUUCUGGGAGAGUUCUAUCAGCUUCCUGAUAGGGAACUGGGAAAAAAAGUGAAAAAGAACAUGAGGGGUUUUAGGAUCCCUUCUUUAGUGAUUUUAAGAAGCCAAAGCAGGGAUAUUUGUUGCAGCAGCACAAGGCAAACAUCCCAGACAGAUGACAAUAGCCUGGGAUCCCAUGGUGGAUUUUGCUACUGAACACAAUACAGCAUUAUGUGACAAAACAGGAGUUGUUCCAAGGGAAUUUGAUUUCUGAGGGGUGAAUCUUUACUAAGUUACAAAAACCAACCACAUCCUUGAUUUGGCUACUGAACACAAUACAGCAUUAUGUGAAAAAAGAGGAGUUGUUCCAAGGGAAAUUUGAUUUCUGAGGGAUGAAUCUUUACUGAGUUACGAAAUCCAACCACAUCCUUGAGGUGCCACUCCUCACACACUGCCUCCAGCCCCUCCUGGCUCUCAGUGCCAGCCUGAUGGCACCAAUCCCUGGGCAUCCAGCCUCCUGUUUGCCCUGCAGUGAUGCAGCCCCUUAUCAAUGGCAAGGGGGAGAGGCUGAUAAGGCAGCAGGAGCCUGUGGGAGCAGCCCUCCCCACAGUCAAACAUCUCGGCUCCUGCUCAGCUGAGCCUCAGAAAUGUUUGCUCAGGUGGAGCUGCCUGAACUGGGAGGCUGGAGCAGGGUGUCACCAGCCUGUCCUCACCCUCCCAGUGCUUCCUGCUGGAGUUCAGAGCAAUGGGAAGGCUCUGACUCCAUUCCAGGCAGGGGGAUUUAGAAGAAGCUGUGUCCUCCUGCUCCUCAGGGGUACAGGCUGAGCUGUGAAUCCAGGGGAAAAAUCCACCUGCCAGCAGAGUUUUGAUCACUCUCAUGGAAAGACUUGAUUUUACUCAAGUCCUGCCAUUUUCCAGUGUAAACAUGCUGCAUCCUUAGUAACCCCACAUCAGGAGCUGCUGCUUUGGAAAACAUGAGGGAGAAACCAUCCCAAGCUGGUUGCUAAAGACACUGAGGUGACUCGUGGAGGUGCCACAGGGUGAUUCAGCUGCCAUGAAUGAUCACACACAACCAUCCAGACAGCCUGGAGAGCUCUCGGAGACAGCCCCAGUGAUCCAUCACCCACCAAAACUCCCAAGGAGAGGGAAACCGGCUCAGCUCAAGUUUAAGGCCCAGCAUUAACCUGCAGGAGAACAAAUCCUCCAACCCCAAAAGGCUUUUUCUAAAGCAGAUUUGAAAUUCCUCAGUUUUGAUCUAACAGUUAAUUUAAAACAAAUAGCUCCAAGUGCAAAAAGCAUCUUUAGCUGUCACAUUGGCAAUGCUUAGAAGAAACUCUUGCUUCAAACUGAAGAACUUGUUGCAGGAAACAGAUUUCCAGCAGGGAAAAAUCCCAAUCCUGUAGGCAGGCACUCAAGUUAUUUGUCACAAAAAGCCUCAUUAAUCUGUAAACCAAUAAAGCUUGCAAUAAAUGUU